rnacentral:misc_RNA from 1 species
AGAAUAUUAAAAAGAAUUAGAAACAAAUUCAGAAUAAAUCUGGGAUGGUGUAACUCUAGUUGCAUAUCAGAAAACGCUCCCAGGGCCAUGGAACGAUGCGGUAAUUGACAAAUCAAUUGGAAUAGGUGCAUCUUUAUGGUCUCUCUUGUUCAUCUUGACGUGUGUGGCUCCACGCGCAAAUGACGUUUGCAGGGCGUACAAGACACAAGGAGUGCCCCAAGCCCAACAGAUGAGCUUAGAAAAGAUUCACUGGCCAGUCGAGAGACGAGGAUCUGGGU